AGAGUUNGAUCCUGGCUCAGAACGAACGCUGGCGGCGUGCUUAACACAUGCAAGUCGAACGCGAAAGGGACUUCGGUCCUGAGUAGAGUGGCGCACGGGUGAGUAACGCGUAGAUAACCUGUCCUUAUGUCUGGAAUAAUACGUCGAAAGGUGUACUAAUACCGGAUAUUCUUGCUUUUCAUAAGCUAGGCAAGCAAAGGUGGCCUCUGACAUAAGCUACUGCACAAGGAGGGGUCUGCGUACCAUUAGCUAGUAGGUGGGGUAAUGGCCCACCUAGGCGACGAUGGUUAACGGGUCUGAGAGGAUGAUCCGUCACACUGGCACUGGAACACGGGCCAGACUCCUACGGGAGGCAGCAGUGAGGAAUAUUGCGCAAUGGGGGCAACCCUGACGCAGCGACGCCGCGUGAGUGAGGAAGGCCUUCGGGUCGUAAAGCUCUGUCAAAGGGAAAGAAGUGUAUGGUGGUUAAUACCCAUCAUAUUUGACGGUACCCUUAAAGGAAGCACCGGCUAACUCCGUGCCAGCAGCCGCGGUAAUACGGAGGGUGCAAGCGUUGUUCGGAAUCACUGGGCGUAAAGGGCGCGUAGGCGGUUUGAUAAGUCAGAUGUGAAAGCCCACGGCUUAACCGUGGAAGUGCAUUUGAAACUGUCAGACUUGAGUACCAGAGGGGAAAGUGGAAUUCCCGGUGUAGAGGUGAAAUUCGUAGAUAUCGGGAGGAAUACCGGUGGCGAAGGCGACUUUCUGGCUGAGUACUGACGCUGAGGCGCGAAAGCGUGGGGAGCAAACAGGAUUAGAUACCCUGGUAGUC
rnacentral:rRNA from 1 species